rnacentral:lncRNA from 1 species
CGGUAUCACACUAUAAAGUCUCUAUACGACGAUUUUAACAGCAAGCAUCCAGGCCAUUGUUGAAUCGAGACAUAUAGGAAAACUCUCGUGGAUAUGAAUGUAUCACUCCAUAUGCCCAAGAGUGACAAAUGUGGAGAUUGCUUGGACUUUGAAGUUGCUGUGAGGGAAGCGACAAACUGAGGGGAAGAAUUAGAUGAGGAGACGAAGAAAGCGAAAGAAGAACACAAUUGAAUGGCUCAGAAUUACGAGCAAGACAAGGAAAUCCAUGAAACAGACAUAAAAGUCUAUUCUAUGGAUCUUCAAAAAGUCCUACUACUUCUCAUUGUGCCAUCAUCUAAGAAGGCAUUCUUUUUAAGCAAGCUCGUUGUUUUCAAUGAAACAUUUGCCUCGAUUCAGAAGAAUGCUUGUUAUAAAGCAUAUUGCUCACUUUGGUAUGAAGCCAUACAGUGCUGAAUUGCAGAUUCAAUCAUUGACAAAGCAUCAAUGAUUGUGGUUAUGAGUGUUUUAUAUGUGGUUGUCAAGAAGGAACAAGAUGUGAAACAUUUUUUUUUUGGGCUGACAAUUGUUCAGUCAAAAAUAAAAUUUUAGUUAUGUAUACUGCACUCAUAAACAUAGUAAACCAGCUUGAUGACCAGACAGCAUUAUUGUAAAAUACUUAAUGAAGGGCCACACUCAUUAAGUGCAGAUGCAUUCCAUGGAAAUAUAAAGCAAGCGAUCAAGAGACAUCAAAAUGUAUAUGACUUCCAAGACUUGGUGGAAGUCAUAAAAUGUUUGAGAAAAUGUGGAAAUACUUGAAGUUCAAGAUUUCCAACAGUGGUCUUCGAAAAAAGAAAAGAUUCCCUAAGCAACAAAGUAAAUAAAGCAAGC